GUUUGUUUGACCUGCUUCAACACUCAGGACCACCAGCCCAGGGCUGAUACUACCCAUAGUGGUCUGGACAUUCCCACAAUAAUCAUUCAUCAUGACAAUACUCCACAGUUGGCCUACACGCUGAUCCUAUAGAGUCCCUGCAUGAUAGAGCUGUGCCUGGUGAUGGGGUGGUCUACCCAUGGACCUAUCUUCGCUCUGGUCUCAGAUUUGCCAACAGACGAAAUCAAGGUGGUGAAAAUACCAAGCCCAGGACUAGGAGCUGAUCCUUAAGGCGGUGAAUUGGAGCUUCUCAGUCCUUCAUCUCUAAGAACUGGCCUCUCAAUAUGGAAUCAGCAUGGAAAUACUUUGAAAACUCUUCUUCUAGACACGACAGAGUCAACUGCAGCUGAGGUUCUCUGCACAAGCUUGUAGAAAUAUUGGCAACUGAGAGCUAUUGAGACGUGUCUGUUAUUUUCUUCAGUGGCGUAGCCACUGAUAAGCUGUCCUUACUCAAGUAAAUAACCUCCCACACCUGCCCAGGCAAGAAACUAAAUAAACUCAGCCGGCUAUUGGCAAAAUAGGCUCGAAGGCUGGUCAGCCUUUCAGAGCCCUGGCUGAUCUUGUGAGACCGAGGCUUAGAAUUCAGUACCUACAUGGCAACUCACAACUCUUUUUGACUCUAGUCUCAGGAGAUCUAACGCUCUCCUCUGACAUCCUCAGGCCCUGGGUGCACAGUGCAUAUAGAAAACACUCAUACAUAGUUUUUAAAAAUCUAGAAGAUGAUGUGGAUGUA